GAUGAACGCUGGCGGCGUGCCUAAUACAUGCAAGUCGAGCGAACAGACGAGAGUGCUUGCACUCUCUGACGUUAGCGGCGGACGGGUGAGUAACACGUGGGUAACCUACCUAUAAGACUGGGAUAACUUCGGGAAACCGGAGCUAAUACCGGAUAAUAUUUAGCUUCGCAUGAAGCAAUAGUGAAAGACUGUUCUGCUGUCACUUAUAGAUGGACCCGCGGUGUAUUAGCUAGUUGGUGAGGUAACGGCUCACCAAGGCAACGAUACAUAGCCGACCUGAGAGGGUGAUCGGCCACACUGGGACUGAGACACGGCCCAGACUCCUACGGGAGGCAGCAGUAGGGAAUCUUCCGCAAUGGACGAAAGUCUGACGGAGCAAUGCCGCGUGAGUGAAGAAGGUUUUCGGAUCGUAAAACUCUGUUGUAAGGGAAGAACAAGUACGUUAGUAACUGAACGUACCUUGACGGUACCUUACCAGAAAGCCACGGCUAACUACGUG
rnacentral:rRNA from 1 species